AUCGCUUCUCAGCCUUUUGGCUAAGAUCAAGUGUAGUAUCUGUUCUUAUCAGUUUCAAGUGAAGUAAAAUACUUAGGGUAUCUGCU
rnacentral:snRNA from 1 species